AAUCAACGCUGGCGGCGUGCCUAACACAUGCAAGUCGAACGAGAAAGUGGGGGCAACUCCAUGAGUAAAGUGGCAGACGGGUGAGUAACACGUGAACAACCUACCCUCGAGUGUGGAAUAACACCGCGAAAGCGGUGCUAAUACCGCAUAACAUCUUCGGGUCGCAUGAUCUGAAGAUCAAAAGCGCAAGUUGCUUGAGGAGGGGUUCGCGCCUGAUUAGCUAGUUGGUGAGGUAACGGCCCACCAAGGCAACGAUCAGUAGCCGGCCUGAGAGGGCGAACGGCCACACUGGAACUGAGACACGGUCCAGACUCCUACGGGAGGCAGCAGUGGGGAAUUUUGCGCAAUGGGCGAAAGCCUGACGCAGCAACGCCGCGUGGAGGAUGAAGGUCUUCGGAUCGUAAACUCCUGUCAGUGGGGACGAAUGCUUCGCAAGAAGUUUGACUGUACCCGCUGAGGAAGCCACGGCUAACUCCGUGCCAGCAGCCGAC
rnacentral:rRNA from 1 species